rfam:Picea glauca, whole genome shotgun sequence.
ACAUGCCUAAAACAUAGCGUUAAUUCAUCAGAUCCCAUUAUAACUCUGUAGUUAAGCACGCCAUGGAUAUAGUAGUACUGAGAUGGGUGAUCACAUGGGACAUACUAGUAUUUUACAUGCC